rnacentral:tRNA from 1 species
GAGUUUGUCAGGGAUAGCGAGAACUGCUAAUUACUCGCCACUAUAGUUCAAUUCUAUAGCCAACUCG